rnacentral:misc_RNA from 1 species
GGAGGGAUCAUUACAGAGUUCGUGCCCUCACGGGUAGAUCUCCACCCUAUGUUAUCGUUACCUUUGUUGCUUUGGCGGGCCGUCAGGCCUCGGUCAGACUACCGGCUUCGGCUGGUAAGCGCCCGCCAGAGGAUAUAAACCCUGAAUUUAAUGUCGUCUGAGUACUAUAUAAUAGUUAAAACUUUCAACAACGGAUCUCUUGGUUCUGGCAUCGAUGAAGAACGCAGCGAAAUGCGAUAAGUAAUGUGAAUUGCAGAAUUCAGUGAAUCAUCGAAUCUUUGAACGCACAUUGCGCCCCUUGGUAUUCCGAGGGGCAUGCCUGUUCGAGCGUCAUUACAACCCUCAAGCCUAGCUUGGUAUUGGGCCCCGCUGUUUACGCAGCGUGCCUUAAAAUUAGUGGCGGUGCCAUCGGGCUCCUGAGCGCAGUAAACAUACCUCGCUAUAGGGACCGGUGGUCGCUUGCCAGCAACCCCAAUUUUCUAAGUUUGACCUCGGAUCAGGUAGGGAUACCCGCUGAACUUAAGCAUAUCAAUAAGCGGAGGAAAAGAAACCAACAGGGAUUGCCUCAGUAACGGCGAGUGAAGCGGCAACAGCUCAAAUUUGAAAUCUGGCUCUUUCAGGGUCCGAGUUGUAAUUUGUAGAAGAUGCUUCGGGUGAGGCUCCGGUCUAAGUUCCUUGGAACAGGACGUCAUAGAGGGUGAGAAUCCCGUAUGUGACUGGCUGCCUUCGCCCAUGUGAAGCUCUUUCGACGAGUCGAGUUGUUUGGGAAUGCAGCUCAAAAUGGGUGGUAAAUUUCAUCUAAAGCUAAAUAUUGGCCAGAGACCGAUAGCGCACAAGUAGAGUGAUCGAAAGAUGAAAAGCACUUUGGAAAGAGAGUUAAACAGUACGUGAAAUUGUUGAAAGGGAAGCGCUUGCAACCAGACUUGCGCGCGGUCAAUCAUCCGGUGUUCUCACCGGUGCACUUGAUCGCGCUCAGGCCAGCAUCGGUUCAGGUGGUGGGAUAAAGGCCUUGGGAAUGUGGCUCCUCUCGGGGAGUGUUAUAGCCCUCGGCGCAAUGCCGCCUAUCUGGACCGAGGACCGCGCUUCGGCUAGGAUGCUGGCGUAAUGGUUGUAAGCGACCCGUCUUGAAACACGGACCAAGGAGUCUAACAUCUAUGCGAGUGUUUGGGUGUCAAACCCAUACGCGUAAUGAAAGUGAACGGAGGUGAGAGCCCUUUAGGGUGCAUCAUCGACCGAUCCUGAUGUCUUCGGAUGGAUUUGAGUAAGAGCAUAGCUGUUGGGACCCGAAAGAUGGUGAACUAUGCCUGAAUAGGGUGAAGCCAGAGGAAACUCUGGUGGAGGCUCGCAGCGGUUCUGACGUGCAAAUCGAUCGUCAAAUUUGGGUAUAGGGGCGAAAGACUAAUCGAACCAUCUAGUAGCUGGUUCCUGC